GAAACUAGAAAGAAGCUUCAUGAUUGAGGCUCUUUUAGCACCUCCAUGAUUGAGCUGCUUCACUUAUCGCCUCUGUUGUUAAUCUUAUUCUUCCUUCUGAUAGACAAGGCUCAGUUUUCCUUUUGUUCGGAGAGUUUGUAUAGCUCAACGAUGUCGUAGAUGGUCAAUAAGCACGCAUGUUAACAUGCAUGUUAACAAAGAAGGAAGGUGAUGAGGAGAAGUCAAUAGAAGAGGGAGGGAGUCAAGGAGGAGGAAUUGGCGACCGCAAUUUACGCGAUGAGGACCAGAAAAGCUGCAGACGACGACGAUAGCGGGGCCUGCUGGAUGGUGUCGGUUGUCGUCGCGCCUCUCUCUCUCUCUCUUCUCCAUUUCAUAACUGUUGUGAUGGGGAAAGAGAAAGCCGACGAGUUACGUAAACGCGUGUUUGGUUCGUGCAGACAAUAGCGUGGGCAAACAGUUGCACAUUCAUUGAAGGGGAAGUGGGAGCCAACUAAGGAGAAGGAGGUCAACCUUCUCACCCUCGAUCAUGACGAUGAUGAUGGUGGUCGUGAUCGCAUGUCCAUCGCCUAUACA
rnacentral:lncRNA from 1 species